UGAUUUUUGUUGAAAUCUUUGUUUUCGUUCGAGUUGGAUUCGAAAUGGACAGAAAGUCAAAUCCAAAAGCUCCCCCCUUUGCAAAUUGGGGGCGACGUGACUGCUUUUUUCUUUUCUUGUUUUCUGUUUCUGAAUUACUUUGCCAAACAACUUGAAAUUGAAUCUAGAUUCCAACAUAGUUUAACAACAAUCUCGUAACUGUCAAAUACAAAUUAUAAUCAUCUGUUCGGACCUCCAAUCAGUCAAGAAUACCCGCUGAAUUUAAGCAUAUCAAUAAG
rnacentral:rRNA from 1 species